rnacentral:rRNA from 1 species
GAUCUGGCUCAGAACGAACGCUGGCGGCAGGCUUAACACAUGCAAGUUGAACGGGAUUUGUGUGGUGCUUGCACCAUAUAAUGAGAGUAGCGCACUGGUGAGUAACACGUGGGAACGUGCCUUUUAGUGGGGGAUAACAUCUGGAAACGGAUGCUAAUACCGCAUACGCCCUGAGGGGGAAAGAUUUAUUGCUAAGAGGUCGGCCCGCGGUAGAUUAGGCAGUUGGUGGGGUAAAGGCCUACC